AGUAAUACAUCGGAACGUGUCUUCUAGUGGGGGAUAACUGCCCGAAAGGGCAGCUAAUACCGCAUGAGACCUGAGGGUGAAAGCGGGGGAGUCGCAAGACCUCGCGCUGGAAGAGCGGCCGAUGUCCGAUUAGCUAGUUGGUGAGGUAAAGGCCCACCAAGGCGACGAUCGGUAGCUGGUCUGAGAGGACGACCAGCCACACUGGGACUGAGACACGGCCCAG
rnacentral:rRNA from 1 species